CCGGAGCUGGUGCCGGUUCCGGAGCUGGUGCCGGUUCAGGCGCCGGUGCCGGUUCAGGCGCCGGUGCCGGUUCGGGAGCCGGCGCUUCGGC
rnacentral:tRNA from 2 species